UAAAAGAUGAAAUUUACUGCACUAGUAGAUUCAGUAAUACAAAGUAUGUGCAAAUUUCAUACAUCAUUUGGAACUAACAAAACUCUCCAAAUUUCUAAAAAGAAAAGAAAAUCCUUGCUCUAAUAUUCAUUUGGUUCUCUCAGAAUGGAGAAUAAAGACAGACAGAUUCCAAAUCCGAUGAAUUAGAGAACCCAACGCCAUAAAAAUGACAAUUCAAACUCGGCCGGCGCUUCCUUGGGGCCGCCGGACAAGUAAACAUCUCCGGCAUCUUGAAUUCUCUCGCCGGCGGAGUCGUACAACACUUGUCAUGGUCUUCGCAAUUCAAACUCGGCCGGCGCUUCCUUGGGGCCGCCGGGCAAGUAAACAUCUUCCUGAUAUUAUUCCUCGUUCUAAGAAUAUGGAGAAAGAAAGAGAAAAGGAAAUUUGUUACUGUUACUGACAAUGGCUGAAUGAGGCUAUAACCGAAUUUUAUAGAUAGGCACAGCUGCCCGGAAAGAGUCCGGCAGAUGAAACCGACUGAAAAUUGGCGCCAAUUUUUGCUGCUUUGUAAGCAACGGCUAUUUUUCCCGCCCAUGAAUUCUUUUAUUUUAUUUUUUUAUUUUUUCAUUUUUACUCCUCUGCUUCCCAUUUAUAAUAAUCCGGCGUCGUUUCUUGAAGUGAGAUGUACCGGGCUAUUUGUGGGACGCCAUUUACUUGGACCGAAUUUGUAACAUCCUCGAUCCGUCAUAGUUUUUAGAUAGGGAUAUUGAAAUAAAUAACACUAAGUUGGCAAUAUCAAGAUUCUUUUUACAUAAAUGUCAAAUUUAAAAUUAUUUUGUUAAUUUAAUUAUAACAUUGAUUAAUAUUGAUAUGAACACGAAUUUAAAUAAUAAAAUGAAUGGAUUGUUCGAGGCAUUUUUUACUUCAAAAUGAUUUUUCGAAGAAUUCGACAUCCAGAAGCAUAAAAAUUCUAAAUAUAUUAUUCUUCAUCUCAUUUAACUUCUUUUACACUAUUUUAAUAUAUAAUUUAACAAUUGCGUUUUUUGCGUUUUUGUAGUAACGUUGUAAAUUUUUUUAUGCGGUUGAAAUUUUGAAAUAGUAAUCGUUAAAUCGAAAUUUGAAACUAAAAUAAAAUAAUUUAGUUCUUGAUACAACUGAUAUUAUGCCCCUGUUUGGGUUCCAUUUUUUCCAAAAUACAUUUUUUUUCAAAACUCAUUUUUAACUACACAUUCUUUCAUAAAAUAAUAUAAACGUAAAUUCAAAACUUUUCUUUAUUUUUCAAUCACAUUUUUUAAAAAAUCACUACUCCAAAAUAUAUUUUUCAAAAAAUCACUACUCCAAAAAGUCUUAAAAGUAACUCAAAAUUGACUUGGAAAAACUUUUGAUCAAGAUUUGUUUAUAGAUAAGUUUACUUAAUCCCUUUUGAUUAAGUCUCAUGAUAUUGUAGAAUAUAAAUUUGGUCGACUUUCCAUAGAGUUGAUACUAUCAAACGAGGAUCCAAAUCUCUAAUCAAAAAGUGCAUUUUUGGUUUUCAAAUUGGUUCGGUUGCAAUUUUAACAACUUAUAGGUUUGAAUUUGGAGAUAGUCUUCAAAAGUGGGCUCCAAAUAUACUAUGAACCGAUUCUAACCAAAUAUUUUAUGGGUUCCACAACUUUUCAAUCAAACAUUUCAUCAAAUUCUCUUAAAAAUCUAAUUUUAAUUUUCAUCAAACAGGAACAUGUAUUAAAAUUGAUGAUGUCCAAGAAUCAUGGUAUAAGUUAACCAUUUUUUUAACAAUUAUUGUAGAAUUUUUGUGUUGACACGCUAAAAGUGCAUCCCAAUUCGAAUAGCCCAAAGAAUGAAGCCCAAUUGGGUAAUUCAGGAUAAAGGCCCAAAUAUGAUUAUUAAUGAAUGCAGUGGAAGCCCACGAACGCAGUAAUACCAUCACCCAAAUUUGCAAGACGCCCAAGAUCUGAGAGAAUGCAGUCGCCCAGAGUUAUGACCCUGUUCUCGCCCAAACCUUCGAAUCGCCCAGGAUCUUAGCAAACAUAAGAUGUUAUGGUUAUCCAAAAAUGAAAUUAUCGAAACAGUUAUUGGGUAAUCUUAUCACAUUCCACAAUUUAAGGAUGUUCAAUUGCGGACGGUUGAACGACAAAGAGUAAUGGGAGUAGUUAGAGACGGCAGUUCCACGAUAAGUUGGCCACCAUGAAGAAAGUGGGCAGUUAUAAAGCAAUUAAGCGAUUUCUAAGCGGUUGCUCACAAAGGGAGCAUCAAGGGAAUAUAAAAGGAAGAAAAGACAUAUAGCAAAGGACCCCGAAUCAAACACUCUCAAAUAGAGAAUAUAUAAUUUCAAUUCCUUAGUUUAGGUUUAAAACAUUUCUUUUCAGUACUCGUAUGUCUGUGCCCCUUGGAGGCAUUCUGUUUAAGUUCCAAUUGUAAAGUCAUCACCAAUAAAAUACCCCUUUUUGGGACUUUGUCUCAAGAGAUUUGUUCCUUUCACAAUCGUCUGAUCCCUUUUUAAUUGUUAGCAAUAACCCACGCGAAACAAUUUGGCACGCCCAGUAAAACAUUGGUGUUUGGUGUUGAAGAUACAAAAGGUGAAACAAUAUGCCUCAGAAAUCCGAUAAGGAAGCAGCGAGUCAGGGAGGAGUCCAAUCUGUGAUCGAGAGAUAUGAGGAGCAGCAUAGCUCUCCACGAACAGAUGGACAAAAUCAGAGCAAUCAUAGUCGUUACGAACCAAUGAUAGAGUUGAGUCCUCGAACCAUGCGUGCAUUACUAUGAGAACUCACACAAAAUGUCGUUGAACAGGUAAAUCUACGAAGUAUUCAUAAUAUGAAAAGAUUUACCCAGAAUGAGAAUGCACAUUAUGACACCAUGGCCAAACAACUUAAUACUUUGAACGAAAUAAUGAAUAAGUUAGUAGGCCAAAUUUGUCAGCUAGUUGUGCCUCUUACAAACCACCUUCAAAUUAGAACAAUUGUGGGACAUAAUCCCCCGGUCCUAAGUUUAAAUCAAGGGGUAGAACCACCUUUUGAUCCCUCUACUUCAAACCAGGGGGGUGGUGUAAUACCAAAUCAAAAUAGUGGCAUUGGUACAUCUAACUUGGGGGGUAACCUAAAUGUAAGAGAUAAUGUCCUAAAUAACGGGUAGAAUACCCCACGUGUUAAUGAUGGAAUAAAUGUCCAGGCUAAUGGUAACAAUGGCCCAAAUCAUGGUAACUUUGUUGCCAAUCAAGGACCAAACAUCAGGCCUCAAGCAAAUCAACCGGUCAACCAACCUGUAAGAAUUCCAUAUGACCCCAACGUCACGUUGAGGAAUCAGAUUAUGAAAAUUGUACAGGACCAGAUGGCUUUUGGAGUACGUCCUGUCAUUAGGCCGACUUACACAAAGCCAUAUCCUGAUUGGGUAGAUCAAGCAUAUCCAUGGCUUAGAGGGUACAAAGUGUCAAAAUUCUCAUUGUUUACCGGUUUAGGAGAGGUGUCUACUCUAGAACACAUAGGGCGAUUCACAUUACAAAGUGGUGAAGUAAUCGAUUAUCAUAAAAUGAGGCUUUUUCCAAGUUCAUUAACAGGAGUAGCCUUCUUAUUAUUCAUCAAUUUGUCAGCAAACUCUAUUCAAACAUUGCAACAAUUGGAGCAAUUGUUCCACGCUCAGUUUUAUAAUACUGAGUCUGAAGUUACUUUGGCCGAUUUAGCGAAUCUACGUCAAAUGCCAAACGAAUGGGCAGAAGGUUUUCUUCAAAGGUUCAAGACAGCAAGAAGUAAAUGUUUUGUACCUUUGCCCGAAAAGGAGUUUGUCAAAAUCGUUUAAGGUUGUCUAAGCUUUGAUCUGAAGAAAAAGUUCCAAGACAAGGAAUUUCCUGAUCUUUUCCAGUUGAACGCGAACAUGAUUAGGUAUGAACGAUUAAAUAAGAGAAGAAGAACAAAUGAAAAAUUCUAGCAAGGGGACUUAUUAUAGAGACCCAAAUUUUAAUGUUCAUUCCAUUAAUGACGAGUAUUACGAUCAAAUCGAGAUGUGUUUGGCCGAAUUAGUUAAAGGAGACACGUAUAAUUGUCUUAUAAUGGCUAAGCUUAGGCCGUCGGGCAAAGAUGAGCUUAUAAAAGAUGAAAACAUAAAGGCUAGAACAUUCUCGUUCGAUGUAACCAAAGCUGAUCUUAUAUUUGAUAAAUUAUAUAAGGAUAAGCAAAUAAAGCUGAGCGAUAAGCAUAAAUUGCCAAGCCCUGAGCAAAUUAAGGGUAAAAAAUAUUGUAAAUGGCAUAAUGCAUGGUCACAUUUGACUAACAACUGUUUGAUUUUUUGCCAUGUGUUACAGGAUGCGAUUGAAAAACGACGAAUUACGUUCGAGGAUAAGAGGAAGAUGGCAGUGGAUGAAAAUCCUUUUCCACAGCCACUUGGAGUGAACAUGGUGACGUCUGGUUUCAAAAACAAGUUGCCAAAAUUCAAGUUGGUUAUAGAUGAUGGAGAAGAAGACCCUGGGCCACAUCCCAGUGUCUUUGAACGUAUCAAAGGGAAGGAGCCCAAAAAGGACGAAGACGUCCUAUGUGCAAGUUGUAAAGAAGAAGUGAGUUCAAAGGCAGAGAAACCAGGGAUAUGGCAGCAUCACCAUCGCCUGAGUUUUUUCCCAAAUGCUCAGCCUGGUAGAGGGCGAGGUACAUCGUUCUAUAAAGAGCCGCCUUUUGAGAGACUGUUCAGGCCAGUAAAUAAGGAGAGAACAUUCAGACCGCAACCUCGCCAACCAAAUGUAUGGCAUUCAUUCCAGUAUAAUGCUGGAAGGGCGAUACUUUUCAAUGAGAUGACUAGAACCCAACAAAGUCGUUUUCAACGGAACUAUGGGUGAAUGAUGAGGCAACAACAGGGAAUGCUACGUCCUAAGGCACCUAGACUACUUGAGGCAGCCAAUCAAAAUGUUCUCAAAGACAGUGAUGAGAUUGGUACAGGUGAACCUAUGGAAGAAUUGCCAGAGACUUCUUCUGGGAGGUCGAAGUUUGAGCGAGGCAGAAGGGAUGGAGAAGAUCCAGAUCAGCCCCUUACUAUUCAGUUUGGUACGUUACCUCCUGUUGUGGCUAAUAACUAUUUACUAGACAAUGAGUUCAAGAAUAAAGAGAAGGGAGAAUAAGAAAAUGAGGAUAACGAAGAGGAAGCAUGCAUGCUGGAAUAUGAAGAAGGCCAAACUUCUAGAGAGGCCUCCACUGGUGAAGAAGAUGAUGGCAUGACAGACAUCGAAGAGGAAAUCGAUCGGGAAGUAGAAAGAAGGAGAAAAGGAGUAUCGUACAAUACUCUGUUGAAGCAAUUACAUCGAGAGGGAAUUCGUGAAGUAGACUUAUUGGGAAAACCAUCUGGGCGUUCUUUCGAUUUUUACGUGCUGUACGGGACUCCCAAAAGGAAGAAGAGAGUGCCUCGCUCUGAAAAAUAUAGAUCACCUCCAAGAAUAAUGCCUCCUCCCACAGGUUGGGUAACUGAAGAAGAAGCAUUAGAAAAUAGUAAAAAGGAAAUUCAGGAGACAGAGACUCGGUGCGAUAUGCUGCACGUUGACUUAUCACAAAAGGGUAACUCGACAGAGGACAAGCAGGAAGUGAAAAUAGAUGCUUUUCGAAAAAGUUAUUUUUAAACGACCAGCCAUGAAAUUAACCAAACACUUGAGGCCAUUGUACGUUAAAGCUCUAGUUAACGGCAUACCAGUGGCAAAAGUGCUUGUCGAUAAUGGAGCAGCUAUAAACACAAUUCCAUCUAGGAUGAUGAGGAAAUUCGCAAAGACAGAAGGUGAUAUGAUCCCAACGGAAGUCAUCCUGACAAGUUCCAAUGGAGGAGCAACUUCAGCUAAAGGGGUUAUGCCAUUGGACAUAACUAUAGGAACAACUACUAGGACCACAGUCUUCUUUGUAAUAGAUGGUCCCACUAGUUACAAUGUGUUAUUAGGAAGUGAUUAGAUACACGAAAGUCGCUGUAUACCUUCAUCGCUCCAUCAGUGCCUAGUUUUUUGGAAUGACAAGUAGAGGUGGUGCAGGCCGAUCAUAGGCCUUUUGUCAUAGAAGCAAACUCAAUAGAAAGGUUCAUGUACGAAGGAAAUUAUGGACCUGUCAGAGUAAUCCAAGAUGGAGAAGAAACUCAGAUUGUCGCGCAGAGUAAAGAGCCGUUUUCGGUGGAUGCACUCACUAAAAUGUUCAGUCAGAUAAGGCCAAAAAUAGUGGCCCUGGAGGAGCCAGUAAUUGGCAAAAGAAUAAUCAAAGAGUUUUAAAUGAGUUGUAAGCAACAAAGAUAAAUGGUCGAUAUUCAGGCUUUCAAAGCCAAAUUAAUGGCUUUCAAUAAAGAAUGCAAGAACAAGAUGAAAGAAGCAGCAGCCUUGAAAGCAUUGAGACAAAUUGGCAUUGUUCGAGUUGGAACAAAGUAUUAGCAGAGAAGUCAACAAGGUGGAUUAUUUAGAAGAAGAAGUGCCUCCAAGGGAAUUGGACGACGAAGUGAUAAGGAUCGCCAAGCCUGGAUAUGCUCAAGCACUAGACCCCCCUGAUUAAAGUGAAUAUUGGCAAUAAAGGAGAAGAUCACCCAACAUUCAUCAACCAAAUGCUCGAUCAAGAGGUUAGUGAUAAAUUAAUCGUUUUAUUAAAGGAGUACAAAGAUUGUUUUGCUUGGAAAUAUAAACAUAUGCCUGGUUUAGAUAGAGAUUUGGUGGAACAUAGAUUACCACUCAAGCCUAAUUUCAAACCUCAUAGGCAACCUCCUAGGCGUUUCACUCCUAAUGUACUCACUGAAAUUAAGGAAGAGAUAGAGCGAUUAUUAAAAGCAAGCUUUAUUAGAACGACCAGAUACGUUGAAUGGUUGUCCAAUAUCGUGCCGGUAUUAAAAAAGAAUGGUAAACUAAGGGUGUGUAUAGACUUUAGGAACCUAAACAUAGUCACAUCUAAAGAUGAAUAUCCAAUACCCACGGUAGAUUCUUUAGUAGACUCGACUGCCGGACAUGUAAUGUAUUCCUUCGUGGAUGGGUAUUCAGGAUACAAUCAAAUUUAUAUAGUUUGAGGAAAAUAUACACAAAACUGCUUUUAGAUGCCCUGGGUCUCUAGAAUGUUUUGAAUGGGUAGUUAUGCCUUUCGGCCUGAAAAAUGCAGGAGCAACUUAUCAAAGGGCAAUGAAUUGGAUUUUUUAUGAUAUGAUAGGCAAGUUUGUUGAAGUGUAUGUAGAUGAUAUAGUGGUCAAAUCCCUUAAAGAAGAGGACCAUUUUGAACAAUUAAGAUGUUCAUUUGAGCGAAUGAAGCAAUAUAAACUAAAGUUGAAUCCCUUGAAAUGUGCAUUUGGUGUUAAUGCAGGGAAUUUUCUUGAUUUCUUAGUACACAAAAGGGGGAUUGAACUUGAUAAAAAUAAAGCGAAGGCCAUUUUAGAGGCCAAAUCACCUAGCAGCAAAAAAGAAUUGCAAAGGUUUCUAGACCAAGUAAACUUUUUAAGACGCUUUAUUUCUAACUGUGCAUGGCGAACUAAAGCUUUUUCGUCGCUUUUAAAGUUGAAAAAUCAUGACGAAUUCGUCUGGAAAGAAGAGCAUCAAAAGGCUUUUGAAAACCUAAUGACAUAUUUGUCAAGUCCACCAGUGUUGGUGUCAACAAUCCAAGGACGGCUAAUGAAAGUGUAUGUAUCGGCUGAAGAAGAAUUAAUAGCUGGAAUAGUCGCGCAGGAAGACCAAUUUGGUGAAGAAAUGGCGAUUUUACUACUUGAGUAGACAGUUAACAAAAUGUGAAUGUAGUUAUUCUGCCAUUGAAAAAUUAUGUCUUGCAUUGUAUUUUACAUGUACAAAAUUAAGGGUUUAUUUACGACGCGUAACCAUUUAUAUAAUUUCUACAGUAAUUUGGUUAAGUAUAUGUUGUCUCGCCCUAUUUUGCACCAAAUGGUAGGCCUUUAGACAUUAGCUUUAUUAGAAUUCGAAAUACAAUACAUACCCCAAAAGGCAGUCAAAAUCAGGUUUUGGCUAUUUUUCUGGCCGAUCAUCCAUGUCUUGAUAUGCUUGAAGAAAUUGAGUUAGAGAUCAAUUCAUUUGAAUUAAAACCUUAGGUUUUAUAUUUCGAUGGAUCGAAAACCUCUAAAGGUGUAGGAGUAGGAGUAGCAUUGAUAAAUUCUUUAGGGAUUUGUUACAAGUUCGCAUUCACUUUAGACAGGAUGUGCACCAACAAUCAGGCCGAAUACGAAGCCUUAAUCGUAGGCCUAGAAUUAAUGAUAGAUAUGGGGGUAAAGAAUGUGAUCAUUAGAGGCGAUUCUUAAUUGGUAAUUCACCAAUUGAUUGGUGAUUUUAAAUACCAAAGUGAUUCCAUUUUAAGUCAGUAUGAAACCGCCCAAGAGUUGUUGGAAGAAUUCGACCAAAUAGAGCUUCAAUGUAUUAAUAGGAUAUAUAAUGACGUAGCAAACGAAUGGGCCCAGAUGGCCUCAGGGUACUCAGAGGUUUUAAAUUGGAAGUCUACUUGUGAGUAUGGAACAAUAUUGCUCGUGAUCCAAAGAAGGGCGAGAACGAUUGAAAUUCAUUGCAUACAAGAUGGAGAUGCAAUAGAUUGGAGUGCAAAGAUUAAAAGGUUCCUUAAAGAACCUAAUAAAGGAGAUAGUAGAAAAAUGAAGUUGCGUUUGCUAAACUAUACACUGAUAGAUGAAGAGUUGUUUAAGAAACGCUCUGAUGGUAUAUUGCUAAAAUGUGUAAGUUUGCAAGAAGCCAGAACGAUCAUGGCUGAAGUGCACGAAGGGAUAUGUGGAGCUCAUCAAGCUGAUCAAAGGAUGAGAUGGUUAAUUAUUAGGAAUGGAUAUUUUUUGCCAAAGAUGGGAGAAUCAUGCGUUCAGUAUACAAAGAGUUGUCUAACAUGCCAAAAGCAUGGUCCAAUACAAAGGACGCCAGCACGAGAGAUGGCACCUAUUAUCAAACAUUAGCCGUUUAAGGGUUGGGCGAUAGACCUGAUAGGAAAGAUUUAUCCCCCAUCGUCCAAGCAACAUACCUUUGUUAUAGUUGCAACUGAUUAUUUCACUAAGUGGAUAGAAGCAAUACCUUUAAAGGAGAUCACCCAAAAGAAUGUCAUAGAAUUUAUCUGUGAUCACAUCAUUUAUAGAUUUGGAAUUCCACAAACUUUGAUGAUAGAUCACGGAACAUCUUUAAAUGGGGAUCAAGUGAAUAAAUUCUUGAGCGAGUUUGGAGUUAAAUUAGUGAACUCCACACCAUAUUACGCUCAAUCUAACGGACAAGCAGAAUCUUCUAAUAAGAUUCUAAAAAAUAUUAUAAGGAAAAUGAUAGAUGAAAAUGUCAGAAAUUGGCACGAAUGUCUAAACAAAGCAUUAUGGGCUUAUAGGACGACGCCUCGGUCAAGUACCAAAAUUACUCCUUUCCAACUUACUUAUGGACAGGAGGCCGUUUUACCUAUGAAAAUCAACGUGCAAUCGAUCAGAGUGUGUUCGCAACAUAAGUUAAGUAGUGAUGAGUAUACCGAAUCACUAAUUCAAAAUUUAUUGGAGUUGGACGAAUUAAAGUUGGAUGUCCUAGAUAGAUUGCAAGUUCAAAAACGAAGAAUGGCUAAAUUUUAUAAUAAAAAAGUUAUAUUCAAGUCGUUCAGCUUGGGCGAAUUGGUUUGGAAAACAAUACUCCUUUGGAUAGCAAAGAUCCAAAGUAUGGCAAAUGGUCGCCCAAUUGGGAGGGACCAUAUAAAGUAAAUAAUGUGUUGCCUAAUAGAGCCUAUCAUUUCGAAGAUUUAGACAGCACCAAACACAUGAGGUUUAUUAAUAGAAAAUAUUUAAAAAAAUAUGUUCCUUCCUUAUGGGAAAGUGAACAAAUAAAAGCGUAAUCAAAUCGCGUUGAAUGAUCGUAGAUUAAAAAGGGCCAAAACAAAAUACGUUCAAAUAAAUUCCUUUAUUAUCAAACAUUCAUUACAAAGUUGUAAAAUACAAAAUACUAAAUGCAUUACAAGCUACAAUUAAGAGCAAACCAAUCUCCGAUCGAUCGCCGAGUAAGAGGGUGAAUGGGCAUGGAUUGCCAUCCUGAUCGCACUGCUGCAAAGACAAGCAGAAAGGUCGAGAAGCACUCUUAGCAAGCAGAAAAGAAGAAGAAGCACCCUCACAUCGCCUUCCUAAAUGCAUCGCUGCAAAUACGGGCAAGGAGGUUGAGAAGCACUCUCAGCAAGCAAGUUGGCUUGCAGGCAUCCUCAGAAAUUAUCUUCCAUCAUCGAACUCAUUGUAAGAAACAUGGAGACGAUGGGAAGAACUUUGCUGGCCAAAGAAUAUUUCCUAUAUCUCCCAUACCAAAGGUAACAUAAAAAAAGAGAGCAAAAUGAGCGGAUCAAAUGAUCCAUUUCUAUGGAAGACAAAGGUUUUGGAUCGAUUGUCAAAAAACAAUGGAGCAAAGUGGUUUUGAAGAAGAGAAUGAAAAUGAAAAUGACAAGUGUGGAAUAUAAGUACAUUUAUAGAGGCGUGAAGGUGAAGAGACAGAAUAUGAACAGCCACAUUCGUGCCUAGUAAAUAGGAUCAAAUGGCCUGAAGUCUUAGAAAAGAGACAGAAAUACUAAGAGAAAAUGUGCGUGAAUCUUAGCAUAAAGCAGUUAAAUGUUUUGGAGGGUUGACGAUUAAAGACAAUGUCAAUAAAUACACAAGAAGACAAAUUAAUCGUUCAAUAAUGAUAAUGGCUGCUGGUAUGUGCAGAAUUACCAAUAGACAUCAGUACGAGGUUACAAGGGGAAAGUAAAUAUGAAGUUACAAAAAGAGAAGUUAAAGCAUUAAAUGUCUUAAUUACAAUUCGCCCCAGACUGAACGAAUUCUUUCCCUAAGCCUCCCCCAAUCCUUACUCUGCUGAGAAGAAGUAACGUUCAAUUCAGCCACAAUAUCAUCAUCAACCUCCAGCUUCUUGUACUGCUCGACCAAAGACUUGGUUCGCUCAAUUCCUUGGGAGGCAUUGCAUUUCUUAGUAGCCAUUCUCGCCUUGCAGUCGUCCAUCCUUGCUUGAAGCUCCUUCAUCUUUGCAGCCAAACUGGUCAUCAAAGAGUCUUCAAUCAUGACUUCAGAAGAGAUUUCUUUCAGUUCGUCCUUAGGUUUGUUGAUCUCCAUGAGCAAACACUCUCUUUCAGAUACAGCGCGAAGAUAUUGAGUACUUUUGGUCUUCAGUUCGACAUUUUUGGCCAGUAAGGAGAGAAUCUCGGAAUGGACAACUGUCAACGUCACUUUAAAAUCAGCAGAAAGAUUGAGCGACGGAAGUGUCAGUGCUUGUGCCAACUUCGCACUCAAAUUCUCAAGCUUAUCCUUAUGUUUGGCAGCACUAGCCUGACCGAUGUCCAUAUCCAUAAAGGACACAUACUCAAAUAUCGACUGCUUGAGGAACUUCAUACCUUCCUCUGAAGAAGCCGAAGGACGACUGGUUGAAGCAGGGCGAGACGUCUUAACUUGCCCCCAGGAAGUGAACAAGUCCUGGAUGGAACGCACAAUCCUAUCAGCAUCCUGCAAAGAAAUUCGCCAACAUUGAAGGUUUUCACUACAAUGAACAAAGUGAAAGUAAAAGUGAAACAAAGAUUACCUCAUCAGCAAUCUUGGGAGAUGGCAUAUCCCCAGCCAAAUCUACCACCUGUGGCUCCACCACUUGUGAGGACUUCCCCUUGUUUGAGCGAGAAGACUUUGCCACAACGGGCAAACCCAUGGGAGCAUCUACAGAACUCAAAAAGCAACAAAUCAAAAAUCAAUAGCACAAACAAAGGUAAAACAUCAAAAAAUGUAUUACCUUCUGGUUCGACGUUUGAGAGGUUGACACCCUGGGAAGAAGGUGGCUCAUCCAUUGGUUGUGAUGACGAUUCCGGGAUUGAAGGUUUCUUUUUAAGCGUAGUCCCUUCAUCAGCUGGUUUGGAUAAAGCAGCCUCAGCAGAGGGUGAUGGAGCAGGAGCUACCAACACCAAAGCCUUCGAAGGAGAGGCUAAGCUUUUCUGAGAAAUCCGAAUAAACCAUCAGCACAUAGAAAAGUUUCAAGUAUAGAAAGGUAUGCUUGUGAGUAAACUAAUUUAAUUACCUUUCUCCUGACAAUGAGAGGAGUGUCAUCAUCAUCAUCAUCAUCCUCCAAAAUGGGAGAUGCUGUGGCUGGCCGUUUGCGGAUUGGGGCACUUUUAGAUGCAGUAGGCUUGGCAGGAAGAGAAGUAGAUGGACGAACAGACUGUUUAGAAAGAGCAGAAGAGGAAGGACUCCUAAUGGACACAUGGGUGACCAAAAUAGGGAAAGUGGAAGAAAUGUCCGACUGAUCCAGUGAAUGGAAAGCGCGAUUGGCAUCAGUUGCAAACAAUCUACGCUGCACUGAUGGCUAGAGUUGUUCAAAAAGAAGAUGGAUGGCAUGGCUAGGAUUGAAGGAAACUAAUGAAAAAUUACUCGUCAAAAGAAUAUUGCGAGCAUCUAUGGCUUAUACCUCUGCCUUAUUAAUGGUGUGGAAACGAUCUAUCAAAUUUCUUGAAUAACAAGGGGGAACAUGCCAAGUUUGGCCAAAACCAAGUUGACGAGCAAAAAAUUGGGGAGCAUAUAUUUCAACCCCAGCUUUGGCAUUAGUUUCAGUCAAGAUAUCAUGGAACAACUCCCUUGCGGUCAAAAACUGAACCCAAACGAGCAGAGAGGUGCUCGCAUUGUCCAGGGUAGAUGGGGGAUGCACAUAAUCAGGAGUUAAAAAGGGAGAAAAAUGAAAGAAAGAAGGAAUUGAAUUCAAAGUAUAAAAAAUGAAAAAAUGUCCCUUUUGGACAUAUGUACAGGGCUCAGUAGGUUAAUAGCUAGCCCAUAGCAGCUAGCAGAAUGACAGGAAAAGGAUAGAGCACCAAGUGAUGGAAAAUAGGCUCUCAACCACAUUUGAGUGAACCAAAGAGGCCCACUACCAGUGGGAGAUGCACCAUUCUUCAAUUGGAAUUGAAGAAAAGCCAUGCCUCUAUAGAGGGCAGCCAAAAAGAAAGAACACAAAUUCAGAGGCCUACCACACGCCAAUUCGUGCGCUAUGGGUAAAUAGCUCAUAGAAGGUUUCAGAUUUGGCACCCACAGAAUAUAUUUACAAAGCCAAAUCUGAAGAAAAUCCACACACUCAGCAUGAAAAGGCUCAGCGUUCGAGUGAUUAUAAUAGCUUUGCAGGCUUGAAUAAGACUCGGUAAGUUUUUUGUCAAAUUUUGGGCCGACACUAGAAAUCAAAAUACUAGGGAAAAUAGUAUCGCCCAAAGAUGGCAGAUUUACUAAGGCCCCAACAUCCCUUAAGGUAAUGGACAUGAGACCAAGAGGGAAAAUAGAAUUAUUAUACUUAGAGGACCAAAAAUUUAAAGCAAUAGGGAAAAGCGCUGGAUCAAAAGUAGGGGGUUGAAGAGAGAUUUCUAACAAAUCAGAAAUCCUAGCAUUAUCAAAAAUUGCCUUGGUAGGACCAUGGUCCACAAGGCGAGUAUGUCAUCUACGGAAAACAACAUCAGAUUUAGGCCAAGUGCGAAUAUCUCUUUCGUAAAGUGGCCUCAACGGCAAAGAGUUUAGAAACGGAGGGCCUUGAGCACAAGGAAAUAGCUGGCCCACCGCCACUUGUUCGACGGCCUCGGCGUUGUUGAAUGAGGGACCUAGAUAGAACUCGUUGAGUUCGGCAUUGGUUGGUACAAGGAAGUUUGGAGUUAUAUAUGGCCAAGUGAGGAGUUUCUGGAAAUCUUCGAAACUGAAAGAGUCAUCAGAUUGGGAUUGUGAAGCAGCCAUUAGGAACGAAAUAAAGCUUUGUUGAAGUUUGCUUGAGAAACCUAGCAGAGAAGCAAGAAGAUGAACAGUAAUAUUGUGAGAGAGAAGCGCGAAGCAAUGAGGAGUGAUUUAGUAGUGCGAUAAAAUGGCAUGUAUUUGGGGGUUAUAAGGGUUUGCAACGUCGUACCUUUUCAGGCUAUGGAAGAAAAUAAUGAUUGAAAUUCUUGGAAAUUUCAAAUGUUGCUGGGAAACACAAAGUAAAUAUGGCAAAAAAUUAAUAAUUGGUAUUAAUUCUGCCAUAUUGGGGGGUAAUUGUUGACACGCUAAAAAUGCAGCCCAAUUCGAAUAGCCCAAAGAAUGAAGCCCAACUGGACAAUUCAGGAUAAAGGCCCAAAUAGGGCUAUUAAUGAAUGCAGUGGAAGUCCACAAACGCAGUAAUACCAUUGCCCAAAUUUGCAAGACGUCCAAGAUCUGAGCGAAUGAAGUGCCUUGCAGUCGCCCAGAGUUAUGAUCCUAUUCUCGUUCAAACCUUCGAAUCGCCCAGAAUCUUAGCAAACAUAAGAUGUUAUGAUUUUCCAAAAAUGCAAUUAUCGAAACAGUUAUUGGGUAAUCUUAUCACGUUCCACGAUUCAAGGAUGUUCAGUUGAGGACGGUUGAACGACAAAGAGUAAUGGCAGCAGUUAGAGACGACAGUUCCACGAUAAGUUGGCCACCAUGAAGAAAGUUGGCGGUUAUAAAGCAAUUAAGCGGUUUCUAAGCGGUUGCUCACAAAGAGAGCAUCAAAGAAAUAUAAAAGGAAGAAAAGACAUAGAGCAAAGGACCCCGAAUCAAACACUCUCAAAUAGAGAAUAUGUAAUUUCAAUUCCUUAGUUUAGACUUAAAACAUUUCUUUUCAGUACUCGUGUGCUUACGCCCCUUGGAGGCAUUCAAUUUAAGUUCCAAUUGUAAAGUCAUCACCAAUAAAACACUCCUUUUUGGGACUUUGUCUCAAUAGGUUUGUUCAUUUCACAAUCGUCUGAUCCCUUUUUAAUUGUUAGCGACAACCCACGCGAAACAAUUUGAUAAAAUAGAGAUUCUAUGAUUACUCAAUUGCAUUUUCUUUUCAUUGAAUGAUGUGGAUCCAGCACCAUACUGACCUGGGAGCUUAUCCACAAUUAACUUUUGACCUAUUGUUCUCAUAAAUUUGGUUAUAUUUCGAUUUCAUUUUUUCCACUGUGGGUGUCGUUUAUCUCGGACCGAGUAAUAAAGGUGUAAAAAUGAAUUGGUCGAAAGUAUUUAGCUGAUGAAUAAAACGGAGGAAAGUUAGUUGACCACUUCAAUUAAAACAAUAAAUUCAUUUAAGAUUUAAAAGAUCACUAAUUUAAUAAUGCAACUUGAAGGCAAUAACUUGAAUUUAUGUACACUAGGUGACAAUACAGAAGAGAGUUAGUCCCUGUAUAGGCACCAUACAGGUGCUGCGUUCGCACAAUUCCUCAUAAUGCUCCACCAAUAAUAUAAUAGGACGAAAACUUGUGUAAUUGGAGUGUGUUAAAUGAGAGUCAUAUCCACGGUUUUGAAGAUUUUGUCUAUUCAAUAGAAAUCAUAUAAAUUGGCCCACCCCAUACUUGAUGACAAAGACAUUUUGUAAACUCGUCGUUUAUUUUGAGACAAGACCGUGCUUGACGGUUUUUUUAUUUUAUUUAAGCUAAGCCAAACAUACGCUGAAAUGUGGGCCCAAAAUUUUUCGUGACUUCAAAUUUUCAAAAAACAAUUAGCUUAUGUUUCAUUUUUAUCCACAUAUUUUUUGAUAUUCAUUCACAAGUACUAUUAUUUUAUCCAUCUCACUUCUAUGUAUUUAUUGUUCAAAUCGUCUAUAAACAACUUUCAAAAAUACCUAGUACAUAUAGUGCAUGAGAUCGACUAAUGUUAUAUGUUUGGGUUUCAUUUUAUCUAAAACACAUUUUUCUCUCUUCUCUUUUUAAUCAUAUUCUUCAAUAAAAUAAUAUUAUACGUAAACUCAAAAUUUUUCUUUCUUUUUUAACGACACACGCUUCAAAAAAUCAUUAUUUCAAAAUAAUUUUUUCCCAAUAUCUCAUUAAAAUGGAGCCAGCUAAUAUCACUUACUAAUGUUUUGGAAGAGAAAUUUUUUGGCAAUGUUGAAAAUAUGUUAAUGGUGAACGUGUUUUCCAUUUUUAUGAUAAAAUAAUGUAGAAAAAGGGGGAUUUUGUGCAUGAUCAGCGAAGCAAAAGUCGUAAGGUGGAGUUUAAAGUGCACACCAUAUAUGUAAAGCUAAAAAUAAAUGGAACCUUCUGAAAGUAGUUAGAAUGACAUGGCAUCGGUCAAGUCAUGCUAGUGCUGACUCUAGAUGGUUCCCUGUUGACGGAGGCGUUUGAGCCACUACAUAAAUGGGUGAUAAACAUUUUUCCUUUUUUGUCAUACACUACUUUACAUAUGUAUUUAGAGUGCAUUAGGUGUGCAUGUAGGAUAACUUUUUCAUAUCCGAUGUUUGAUACAAAUAGUACUGGGAUCAAAUUAAUUUGAUCAAGUUAUACUACCUUAAUCAGAUAAAUUUAAAUCAUCAGAAAAAAUUAAGUCUAAAUAAAUAUGUGAUCAUACACUAAUGCGAGUAUUAAAUAUUAUCCAACUAAACACUUGCACCCCUCCAUUAAUUCCACCCCACGCCCACGCACUUCAACCUCCCACUCCCCAAUCGUCAUGGGUACAUACUAAAAUGCAGUACAACCCUGCUACAUAUACAAGAAGAAUUGUCAAUUGCAUUCUAGGAGGACAUAGAUGUGCCAUGUAUUCAUUGGACAUUGAAUAAAAAAUAGUUUUAUUCCAGCCAAUACACAGACGCCACCUAUCUCCCUGUCAUUCUCCAAGACAAUCUUCUAUAUACUUGGAGCUUAACUAAAAUAGAGUAGCACAAUAAAAAUUCUUCACAUAAAAUAAGAAAUUUUAGAAUAAGCAAAAUUUAUUUUACAUAGCAAUAAUUUAUUUAUUUUUUUUAAAGGAAAAAUUUACUCAUGAAUAAAAUUUUACUAAUAAUAAGUAAAACAUAUGCUAUAGGGGAAAAAAAUAUAAUUUGACUAAAAAAGGUCAUUUACAAGUAGUAAAAAAAAAUCAUAUAUCUAUAAAAUAUUAUUUGUAAGUGAAAAAUUCACGAAUAAAUAAAAAGCUAACUUACAAGUAUAAAAUACUUAUAGGUAAAAAAACUAUUUAUUAGGAAAAAAGAAUCACUCAUAAGUGAAAAAUCAAUUAUGAAUAAAAAAACUUACAUCUGAAAUAUAUAUGAGUGAAAAAAUUACUUAUAAACUCAUGAAUAAGUAAGAAAAACUGCUUAUAAAUAAAAAUAUAUAUUUGUGCCAAAAGUCGAGCUUUAGACUAAAGUCAAGCGUUUAAUGGGAGACAACCCAUUUUUUUCCAUCCCUUUUCACUUAUUUCGAUUAGCUAUUACAUACACGUACUUUUAGGAAUUGCAUUAGUAUUUUAGGGGCCAUAGUUAGGAAAUCAUACAUUUAACGAUUUUUAACAUGUUUUAGAUGGUAUGUUAAGACUUGCAUUAGUAACAUUUUUACUUAUUGAGUUCAUUUUAUUUAGGCUCAUCGUUAACUUCCUACCCUUGUAUUGAUGUAAUAUGAAUUCUUAAAGUUGUACAUAGAUUUCACUCUUCAAGCCAAUCUGAAAAGACUUAUUUUUUCCUAGUUAUAUGAUUUUGAAGGGAUAACGCUCUAUUAGAUAGUCUUUCUAAAAGUUUGAAGAUUAAAAUUUUCUUGGUAUGAUUUCACUGCACAUAUUUAAACCUUAUAUGUUCUCAUUAAUAUUUAUUUUAAAUUUUUGGAACAACAAAUUAAAAUCUAGCAAUAAGGAAAAGUAGCGAUUGUCAUAAUGUCUACCAGUUAGACUAGCCUGAUCCUUCUACUCAUCAUCCCAGAGAGUUCCUAAUCCUUACUCAUUUACUUCGAUUAUUUUUACUUUUACAUUAGAGACAAUGUAAUAUGUUUAUUUUGGGGUGGGUAAGUUAGGAUAAUUUGAAUGUAUAUUUUUUCAACUGCUCGUCGGGUCUAUACGACUAAAAAAUUUUGAAAAUUUUGAAAAAAAAGGCCUCUUUCCUAAAAUUACAUUAUUGUGCUUAUAAAAUAACAUCAUUUACUACGUUUUUCAAUCCUUAAUUUAUAUUAAGUUUAGCUUUCUGAAAACUUAAUAGUAAAUAUGUUCCUUACUGAUGAUAAGGAUGGCCUUAUUUUGUUGUGUUUUAUGUCGAAGAAAUUACCAAUAUUAUAAAGUAUCAAUCAACAUAAAUGAUUCAAAUAAAUUUAAGAUUUGAUUGAAAUUGAUUUUAUUUUUUUAAAAAUUAUUUUUCACACACUCAUUUUAAAUAAUAUUUGAGCCGUGCUUUUUGGCCUCUGGCCAAGUAGAUUAAUUCAUCCAAAAAUCAGAAAACACAAGCAAACAGCAGAUUAUAGUCCUAUGAACAAGAAAAAAGAUUACAGCAGAUUUAUGCAGUCGACGGCCUCUGCUUUGCAAAUCAAAUCAUAAACACCCAAAAAUGAAACAUGAAAACACCUCUCUUCAAUUUGAACCCACUGCUCUCAGAAUCCCAAUAAAAAAUCAGUCUUUUUUCUUCUUUCUUUUGUUUAAAUCAAAGUCUGAUUAUUAGACUUAGUUUCUCCUUAGAACGAAAUAACCACAGGAUUUAAGCAAAUCAAGAACUGAAAUAACUUAAGAAUCUUCAAGAAAAAUAUUAACAUAGACUAUAAAUCUAUAAUCACAGCUCCCUUCCUAUAAUCCUAUCCAAUUGGUUUUCUCUUCCCUCGCUGGUUGUCUUCUCCUCUCUUGUUGGUGGAGAUUCGUGUUUAUCGAACUUCCUUACUGAGCAUGAUGUACAUAACAAGUAAAUAACAAAGUUGCAAACUUGAACAUGAUUCAGAAUUUGGUUUUUAAUUAAAAUUUUGAUUUUAAUUAAAUUAAUUCGCCCUUAAUUAUUGGAAUUAGAAUUAGACUCUAAUUUUGUUAUUUAAUUAAAAUUUGAUUUUAAUUAAAUUCAACCGCUUUGAGUUAUGAAAUUAGAGUUGGACUUUAAUUUGAUAUUUAAUUGAAAUGUGAUUUUAAUUAAAUAGUUCCGCCAUAUAAUUGUUGAAUUAGAGUUGGACUUUAAUUUAUUAUUUAAUUAAAAUUUGAUUUUAAUUAAAUAUUCCCGCUGAUUAAAUAAUCGAUUAAUAUGAUUAAUUAAUUAUUUAAUCAUUCCGAUCCAUUUGUCUAAAAGAGUUUAGACGACUUAAUUGCUAGAAACUUGAAACUUAUUUGCAUAUAAUAUUAGAUAUUAUAUANNNNNNNNNNNNNNNNNNNNNNNNNNNNNNNNNNNNNNNNNNNNNNNNNNNNNNNNNNNNNNNNNNNNNNNNNNNNNNNNNNNNNNNNNNNNNNNNNNNNNNNNNNNNNNNNNNNNNNNNNNNNNNNNNNNNNNNNNNNNNNNNNNNNNNNNNNNNNNNNNNNNNNNNNNNNNNNNNNNNNNNNNNNNNNNNNNNNNNNNNNNNNNNNNNNNNNNNNNNNNNNNNNNNNNNNNNNNNNNNNNNNNNNNNNNNNNNNNNNNNNNNNNNNNNNNNNNNNNNNNNNNNNNNNNNNNNNNNNNNNNNNNNNNNNNNNNNNNNNNNGAUGGUGCAUUGACACUGUUCAAUGCUAUACCCCCUAGGAAUUGACCAACUAGUCUUCCUUAUGACUCGGGAAGACUGGAUAGUAAAAGUCCAUUAUCGUCCACACUAUUAUAUAUAUUAUAUAUAUAUAUAUAUAUAUAUAUUUAUUUGCAUAGUAGAUGUAUAAUAAAAAUAUAUAUAUGUGAUUAUAUCGAUAUUGAUGAGACCUAAGCAUACAAGAACCUCAAUAAAAUAUUAAGUCACAUUUGUAAUCGCCUUCCAUCAUUAUAGUGAAAAACCAGAGUCCCAAAUCGUCUCAGCUUGUUGAGUACACUCAAGGCUGGUCCAUUAGGGAUAUGUUUGACACUAUGAAAUAUUUGAUAUUUCUGAAUGAUGGGUUUGACUUAACUAAAAUUUAUCUUUUGUUGAGUACACUCAAGGAGAUAGAUUUUAGAGACAUGAUAAAAUAUGUGAGGACAAGGAGUUGUCAACUUAAUGAUCUAGGAAUUGUAUGCAAAUCCCCUCAAUAAAAUAUUAAGUCACAUUUGUAAUCGCCUUCCAUCAUUAUAGUGAAAAACCAGAGUCCCAAAUCGUCUCAGCUUGUUGAGUACACUCAAGGCUGGUCCAUUAGGGAUAUGUUUGACACUAUGAAAUAUUUGAUAUUUCUGAAUGAUGGGUUUGACUUAACUAAAAUUUAUCUUUUGUUGAGUACACUCAAGGAGAUAAAUUUAAGAGGCAAGUUAAGCUAACACAUAAGAUGUGUAAAAACAAAAAGUUGUCAGCUUAAUGAUCUGGGAGUUGUAUGGAGAUACAAUUGAUAAUAGUAUCUACCCAAAUAUUAUAUUAGGGCUUGUUGAGUACACUCAAGGUCUUAAUAUAAUAGAUGGGAUCCCAGCCCACUGGGAGUCAAGCAUGGACUCCAUAAAUUUAUGUAAGAGGGUCAUAAAUUUUAUUUAAACAGUGGGAGCAUAAUUAAUUUAAUAAAAGUCCAUGUUAAAUUAAUUAAUGCAUUUUAUAUAUUUUAUUCUUUUCUUUUUCGUCAUUUACAUUUAUAUUGAAUCUGAGUAACCAUAUGUUUUGAAUGGCAUACUAGAUGCCAACAACCAAACUAUAUUUUCUUAAUUGACACUGCAAUUUGAAAAUUGUUCUUAUGCAUGAGAAAGUUGGUCACGUCCUUGAGUAGCCCCUUCCAGAGACACCUGGUGAUGACUCGAUAAAGGAAGAGGUGGCUACUAUAGUAAACGCAGUGAUGAUAAUAGUACUGCAACGUAUGUGAUACUUGCAACUAUGUCACUGAGUUACGAAAGCAACUUGAGAGUAUAGAUGUUAACACAUAAUUCUUCACUACAAAGAGUUGUAUGAUAGUAAUCAUGUGUGGAAGGAUAUGAGACUUCCAAACAACUAUACAGGUGCAAAAUGACAGAGUAAUCUUCAAUCGAUGCUUAGAUACUGAAGAUGAUUGACGUUGAGAAAUGUCUCAACUGUAUUCAAUCAUAAACCAUGAACUAAGUAGUGACUUGGUCUUGUAAUCUCUGUCAGCUAAAGCUAUUCACAACUAAUUAUGAAUUUAACGUGAAUAAGCUCGAAUACAAAAAUAUUGAGUUGCUUAACAUGCUUAGGACUGUUAACCCUAGUGGGCAAACCAUUGAUUCCUUUAAAGAUAUUAAGAGGAAGUCUAAAGGGGCUUUGUGAAAGCACCCAAUAUGGUUAAGACAGUAUAAGCGAAAGGACAAAUACCAAAUCUAAUGACCAUUGGUUUCAUUAUAGAAUGAGAGGUCAUUAGAAGGAAUAUUGUAUGGCUUACGUCUACUUCACGAGUUUCUUAGGCAUAUGAUACCAGAUGAAAAUAUCGUAUUUAUACAAAUAUGGAGAAACUAAAAAAAGUAGACCACUGCGAAAGGGGGAAGUUGACAUACACGUUGGAGAUGAGCAAAUGUUGCUACAUUACCUGUAUGAAUAUACUUCUUAUCAUUGCCUUUUGGUUUAGUAUUGAAAUGUCGUUUUAUGCCAACUAUAGCGGGAACAUUAAAAUGAAUUUCAUGUUCAGACAUGAACUAUUUUAAUGUUAAGGACAAUUGUUGUUCUUAUUUAUCUUGUUAAAGAUCCUAAUGGCUAUGGUAAAUUAUAAAAUUCAAAACCCCACGUAGGAUUCUCAUUUAACACACUCCAAUUACACAAGUUUUCGUUCUAUUAUAGUUGGUGGAGCAUUACGAGGAACAUGGGUUGACAGCAGAGAUUUUAUUGUUGUCGUAGGGCAUAGAUAUACUAAUUUAGGGUAUGAAAAUUUAUACUUGGGGCCCAAGAAAGGGUGGGAGAUACUUGCCCAAUUGUUAAGAUGAACUUCACUGCACUAGUUGAUGAAGAUUCAUCCUCAAUCACACAUCGUAUCUUUACCUAUUAUCUCGUUAGAACAGGUUUUGAGUUUUAAAUAAAGGAAAACAUCUCCAUUACUAGAACCAAAUUUGAUAGCUCAAUUUUGAUAGAAUACCAAUUCUAUUAACUCUAAAGACAAUCUCCCAUUGUCAUUUGCUUGAACUUCUUUUCGACCCAAUGAAAAAUCUAAGAUACAAGAGAUAUCCCAGAGAAUUUCAAGCCCAGACUUAUUAACCAUUCCAAAAGCAUGUAGAUUUUCAAAAUGAAAACAGUUAAAAAUAUAAAGGAAAAAGCUGUUCGAACAGGGCUACGAACAGGAGAAUGAUGUGGCGCUUGGGCUUCUUGGGCCCCGGCCAAGUAGAAUAAUUCAUCAUAUUUCAUCUUCAUCACGAGACAGCAGGUCAAUUGAACAGUGGUGGAAAGAGAUAUUUUAUGCAAACGUCCUGUCAAAGAUGGCUCCACUAACUCAUAACUGAUGAAAAAUAAAUAAAUAAAACUCAUAUUUGCAUGGACAUGAGACAGCAAUUCUGUGGGGCUGCCACGUGUCCAGGACACCCCCCAAACUCUAUAGUUGAACAAGCUCCAAUAGUCUGAUUACUUAUAAUUUAAAUUGUAUGCUACCACUCGAUUAUUAAACUUUAUAUAACCUAGGUUUUAUUAGUUCGUAAUUAAGAAUUAUAAUUCUAAAUACUAUAAAAACUCACUUGAUAAAGUUCUGAGUCAAAAAUGUGUUAGCUAAGCAUAAUAAUAGCUAGCUUGUAAUAACAAUUAGAAAAUUGGGCACAUAUCAAUAUAGUCAGCAUGUGAGAAGUGUUGAAAACUAAAAAUUUAAUGAAUCACAUAUCUCUAAUCUAUUUAAAUUUUUAUAAGUAAACUGUAAUAGUGAACAUCAUAUAAGAUCUUGAGGUCUUGGGGAGAGGAAUUUCUAAGCAAAAAUAAGAGACUGUACUAAAUACCACGUUUGGCAUUAUAUAAGGUCAUAUAUAAUUUUUGAAUAGAGACACUUAAUUCUUGAAAAUAUUAAGUCUACUCAUAGGCUCACAUAACUGUUUCAAAAUAUAUUUUUCUCCAAAAAUGAGGGUCAAACAAAGGCUAAAUAAUCAAGCAAGUACCACGAUGGAAAUAAGGGAAUAAAUUUCAUGAAUACAGGUGAAUUUUGCCAUAUUCAAAUUUUUAUAUGAAAGUUGUAGUCGUUUAACAUGGUAGCGACAAAGAGGGGGAGUGGCAACCACUUCGCAAUAUUUUUAAAUUAUUUUUAUCUUUUUCUUAGAUUUACAAAAUACAUGAUUGUUCGAAUUGUCUUUUAAAUAAAGAAGAAUUUUUAGAUUUACUUCGCAAUCAUUUAACAAUUUUUAACCCUCUAUUAUGAAAUUUCCGACUUUGCUACUGAUUGUUCGAAGUAUCUUUGAAAUAAAGAAGAAUUUUUUGAACAAGAAUUGUCAUCAUUUUGUAAGUGUCAUAUUGAACGUUCAAAUAAAUGUUGGCUACAAAUUAUGAUGAGUGUCACAUUUUUCAGAAGACGAGAACAUGAGAAUAACAAAUUAUAGGUUAGAGGUAUGAGUGCCAUAAUUACGAAAGUUUAAAGACCCUAGUGGAAUUUACCCUCUCAUAUAUAUAUUUACCUUGUUUGAUAAAAUUUUUACUAAAGUUUUAUCCAUUUUUCCAAUUGAUAAAAUUUUAAUUUUAAUCAUACAUUUUAUGAGAUUUACAAUUUCAUUGAUUCUUACCAAAAUUUAGUAAAAAUUUUAUAGAAAUUUGGUCACACAUACCCGUUGUCUAAUAAAUCAAACACUCCCCCAAGUUACCUAAAUCUUUUCCUAUAUAUUUCUUCUCUACUAAUGGUAUGGAUAAAAAGACCUCUUUCCUAAAAUUACAUUAUUGUGCUUAUAAAAUAACAUCAUUUACUACGUUUUUCAAUCCUUAAUUUAUAUUAAGUUUAGCUUUCUGAAAACUUAAUAGUAAAUAUGUUCCUUACUGAUGAUAAGGAUGGCCUUAUUUUGUUGUGUUUUAUGUCGAAGAAAUUACCAAUAUUAUAAAGUAUCAAUCAACAUAAAUGAUUCAAAUAAAUUUAAGAUUUGAUUGAAAUUGAUUUUAUUUUUUUAAAAAUUAUUUUUCACACACUCAUUUUAAAUAAUAUUUGAGCCGUGCUUUUUGGCCUCUGAUUUUCGAAUUAAUUAAUUGGAUUAAUUGAUUCACGGACCGGGUUUAAUUAAUUGGAUUAAUUAAUUAUUGGACCGGACCGGGCCGAGCCUAUUUGGGUUUAUAUAAAUAUAUAACUAGGGUUUGAGGUCCAUUAAGGUUUUCAUUAUUCUUGCUAGCACAAGAGAAAACCCUAGAGGCUGCAAUCAAAUUCUCUGUGUGGAUCACCGUUGGAGGCUGGACAAUUGGACAGCUGUGGUGGCAGAAAACACCUCUCUUCAAUUUGAACCCACUGCUCUCAGAAUCCCAAUAAAAAAUCAGUCUUUUUUCUUCUUUCUUUUGUUUAAAUCAAAGUCUGAUUAUUAGACUUAGUUUCUCCUUAGAACGAAAUAACCACAGGAUUUAAGCAAAUCAAGAACUGAAAUAACUUAAGAAUCUUCAAGAAAAAUAUUAACAUAGACUAUAAAUCUAUAAUCACAGCUCCCUUCCUAUAAUCCUAUCCAAUUGGUUUUCUCUUCCCUCGCUGGUUGUCUUCUCCUCUCUUGUUGGUGGAGAUUCGUGUUUAUCGAACUUCCUUACUGAGCAUGAUGUACAUAACAAGUAAAUAACAAAGUUGCAAACUUGAACAUGAUUCAGAAAACAAACACAAUUAAAAGAUGAAAUUUACUGCACUAGUAUAUUCGGUAAUACAAAGUAUUUGCAAAUUUCACAAAUCAUUUGGAACUAACAAAACUCUCCAAAUUUCUAAAAAGAAAAGAAAAUCCCUUGCUCUAAUAUUCAUUGGGUUCUCUCAGCAUGGAGAAUAAAGACAGACAGACUCCGAAUCCGGUGAAUUAGAGAACCCAAUGCCAUAAAAAUGACAGUUCAAACUCUAACAAAACUCUCCAAAUUUCUAAAAAGAAAAGAAAAUCCCUUGCUCUAAUAUUCAUUGGGUUCUCUCAGCAUGGAGAAUAAAGACAGACGGACUCCAAAUCCGGUGAAUUAGAGAACCCAACGCCAUAAAAAUGACAGUUCAAACUCGGCCGGCGCUUCCUUGGGGCCGCCGGACAAGUAAACGUCUCUGGUAUCUUGAAUUCUCUCGCCGGCGGAGUCAUAACACACUUGUCAUAGUCUUCACAGUUCAAACUCGGCCGGCGCUUCCUUGGGGCCGCCGGGCAAGUAAACAUCUCCGGCAUCUUGAAUUCUCUCGCCGACGGAGUCGCACAACACUCAUAAUCUUCAUAUCCUUCUUUAGGCUUUGCAGAUGUCGAUUUCA
rnacentral:lncRNA from 1 species